rnacentral:rRNA from 1 species
UACAGAGGUCUCAACCGUUGUUCGGAUUCAUUGGGCGUAAAGGGUGCGUAGGCGGUCGCAAGUCGGAUGUGAAAUCUCAGGGCUCAACCCUGAAACUGCAUUCGAUACUGCGUGGCUAGAGUGCUGGAGAGGAGACUGGAAUUUACGGUGUAGCAGUGAAAUGCGUAGAUAUCGUAAGGAACACCAGUGGCGAAGGCGGCUCACUGGCCCGGUACUGACGCUGAGGCACGAAAGCGUGGGGAGCAAACAGG